AAAUUUUUUUUGUAAACGGGGGCGGGAAGCGGCAACAGCUCAGAUUUGAAAUCUGGCCCUUUUGGGGUCCGAGUUGUAAUCUGUAGAGGAUGCUUUUGGCGACGCGCCUUCCGAGUCCCCUGGAACGGGGCGCCAGAGAGGGUGAGAGCCCCGUAUGGUCGGACGCCGAACCUCUGUAAAGCUCCUUCGACGAGUCGAGUAGUUUGGGAAUGCUGCUCAAAAUGGGAGGUAAAUUUCUUCUAAAGCUAAAUACCGGCCAGAGACCGAUAGCGCACAAGUAGAGUGAUCGAAAGAUGAAAAGCACUUUGAAAAGAGGGUCAAAUAGCACGUGAAAUUGCUGAAAGGGAAGCGCUUGUGACCAGACUUGCGCCCGGUUGAUCAUCCAGCGUUCUCGCUGGUGCACUCUGCCGGGCUCAGGCCAGCAUCGGCUCUCCCAGGGGGAUAAAGGUCGCGGGAACGUAGCUCUCUCCGGGGAGUGUUAUAGCCCGUGGCGGAAUGCCCUUAGGGGGGGCCGAGGCCCGCGUUCGCAAGGAUGCUGGCGUAAUGGUCACCAGCGACCCGUCUUGAAACACGGCCCCAAGGGGAGAAAAA
rnacentral:rRNA from 1 species